UUAGAAUUCUUGUUAUGUUUGCUUAUUUUGUGAAUUUUCUUUCACUCUACAGGAUGAUUCUGAGGUUUGCUAUCAGUUUUCCUCUGGAAUAAAGACCAUUGUGGUAGUACCGGUUGAACCACGAGGACUAGUACAGUUUGGAUCUACUGAGAAGAUAUUUGAAAGAUUGGACUUUGUG